rnacentral:misc_RNA from 1 species
UGGGUUUGACAUGCCGGGAAAUCCUGCAGAGAUGUGGGGUCCUUUUUGGGUCCGGUACAGGUGGUGCAUGGCUGUCGUCAGCUCGUGUCGUGAGAUGUUGGGUUAAGUCCCGCAACGAGCGCAACCCUUGUCCCAUGUUGCCAGCGGGUAAUGCCGGGGACUCGUGGGAGACUGCCGGGGACAACUCGGAGGAAGGUGGGGAUGACGUUGACGUCAUAACC